GUAUGAGAAAAAGAAACUAGACGACUGAUUGUAGCGCACGCGAGUGGAUAAUAGUGACGCGCAUGCGCGACGAGCAAGUGGCGGAUUCGUACGUGUCGCGAGGAUUUAGGCAUCCUGUUUCUUCAAGUAUUCGCAUGAUAUUUCGCUUCUUUAAAGACUUGCGGGUAUUUUAAGAUCGUGUUAACGCUUAAAUGUUUCCGUAUUUGAAGAGGUUUGAGUUAGUUUCAGAGGGUUUUAACGUGUGGAGAAUAUUGAAUUAAUAGGUUUCAUGUAAAGUGGCUAGUUUAAGUUUACGUAUCUGAUUGUCGCAGUUCUGGAUUCACGCGAAAGCAUGAAAUUCACCAACGACAGCAGCGUGUAAUCCAUAGCAAACUUCCAACUUUUCACUGGCGUUCUAUUGGAGGACAAGGUGAAUUCUCUGCACUUGAGCGAUGAAUAGAUAGAAAGAAAUGAACGGUAAGGGGCUACCCUGGCGUCUCGGACGACGGUCCAGCGAAACUUGGCUCGGAACCCCUCGACAGGUCGAGUGGGGUCUACACGAGAGCCAGCCCUGUCCUAGCGUGUAUUCGAGUAGAGAAGAAAACUGCACGCCAGCGACGAGCAACCCUCUUCUCCCUUCCUUCAAAGGCCUGUUCUCUAGCCUUUGUUCAUUCCCAGGGCGACAUUGUCGUUCAGAAUACAGGAUGACCUGAAAGUGUUUGACCAGAUCGUGCUGGUAUACUUACAACUAUAGUUUAGCUUUGCUACAACUCACCUGUGACUUUAGUUUGGACGUGUUUGCGAUAGUUUGAAGUGUUCUAGAUCAGAAAUUAAUCUGAUCCAUGUUUACUCUGUUUCAAUUGGUUUACGUUUUAUACGCUAUUUUUCAUAAACAAACGUUAUGUUUAUUAUAAAUUAGAAAUUGUCGCAGAUAACGUGAUUAUUAAAUUGAUAUCAAAUAACGUAGAUGUAUUUUUACAUAUUUUUACGAGGAUUUGGAUCAUUUGAUUUAUUACUUGAUAUUUGUUAUUUGAUUUUUUAUUAGAGGGAUAAACACUAUUUUUUAUUAUAACAUUUGUCGCAGUUACAGGUAUUUUUGAUUAGUUUAAAUAUAUCUUAUAGAAAUAAAAAAGUAUGCAAUGAAAAUUCAGUCCAAACUUUAUCACACUAAUUGAAUCUCUGGAAAGCAGCCCUUAAAAUAGACAUAAUAUACCAACACUGUUGCAAACUCCUGUAUCUCGUAAAAUCUCAAUUAAUUGAAAAUACACAACAAUACGAGGAUAACGAUCCAAAUUUCCCUUCAUUUGGCCAAAACGGACCGUUCACAAGCCAUUGUUCAUUACAAAAGACCAAUCAAUCGAUAAAGCGUUAAUAUUCAUCAGCUUAGUGUCCGAUUAUAAGUAGACCGCGGAUUUUUACCAAUUUAGUGGAAAUUUAAAAUUUCAAAAAUGCACAAAAUGCACGCAAUAUUGAAAAACGUACGAAAUAUCCAAACUAUUGUAUCAUUAUAAUAAUAAUCAGCGGAUGAAAUAAAUUUUUACAUAGGUUGAGGUUAGGUUGGGAUUAGGGUGAGGUUAGGUUGGCUCAUCAGUGUAUGAAGUAAAGUUCUACACAGUUUCCAUUUGUUUAAUGCUGUAAUUACCAACAAAUCCAAAGCUUGUGCAAAAGAAAGGAAAAUGAAACACGUGCAGGAAGAUACGUAUCGAUUGAAAUCUAAAAACUUAUUAUGAAAAAUCGCAAAUUGGCCAUUUUGUCCGCUCUGUUGCUUCCAGUGGCAAUUAAGUUGGUGAAAACAGCAAUUUGAAUAAAAACUCCGCAGUUCACUCAUCGUCAAUUUUUAAUCCUUUUCACUGAUCAUUAGACCACGAAUUUUUAUGCAUUUACACAAAAUCGAAAAAGGCAAAAUUUCGCCGAAAUAUCAAAUAUCCAAAGGUUUCCGUGAAACUCGAAAGGUAAAAUAUAAUUUUCUACCGAGUCUGUGCUUUUUUCCCCACGUCACAUUGUCAAAGAUUCGAAUUUGCAUGACACUCCGCAGUCCACCCAUCACCGACGUAUACGCAAAAGUACAGGCCUUCUGUCUCUUAACCUUCUUUUGGCUCGCAAUUAUUUUGAGGCGAGGAACGUGUGGCGCGAUCGAUAAAACCGCCGGGACACGUGUAUGACGAUCCAGUACGAAUAAUGCAUGAACUGUUUCGCGAGAUUGCAAUGUAACCGGAAUCGAAAGGUGCCAUGGUUACCUUUGAACGUUGUCACCGAUACGAUUUCCAGGUAACACAAGCACGGUCUGCAUUUAACGACGCAACCUUUCUAUUAGGUAGAUCUUCAGGAAUAACGAGGUUCGUGUUGCUCCGUGAUUUACACUUUGGAAUUAAAGCAAAUCCGAUGGAUCGAUACAACGUUUCCUCCGGAUGUGUGUCACAGCUUCGAAGUGUUUCGACGCGUGUACACGCGCGGUGUGCGCUGUAUUUAGCUUUUUCCGAAACUCGAGCGGAUGGAACGAUUCGGUGUUCGAUAAGCAGAGUACCAGUCGGAGGUUUCAGAUGACUGAAAAUAUUUACAGUUUAUGAAGGAACUAAUUGCGUGGGAGAAAUAAAUAACGUAGCACAGUCCAGUUCUGGUUCUUGUUAGAUGCCAGCUACGAGCUUGAAUGGUCAUAUUAGGUUGUCCGGAAAGUUUCUUUCGUUUCAUGAGGUGAUAAUAGAUGAACAACAAUUUCUGUUUUAUAUUGUUUUAUUGAAUUAGGUAUGAUCCAUUUCGUUAUAUUUCUAUUGUUAUGUUCGUGCAUAGUUCAAUAAACUGAUAUAAAACGAGAAACACUGUGCGUCUAUUAUUUCCUUAUAAAACGAAAGAAACAUUUCGGACAACCUAGUAGUUUGUGGGAAAUAUUCGAACAGCGAUCGAAAAUGGAAUCACUGAGGAAUGUUUAUAAUUUAUGAAAGAGAACUAAACGAAUAGUAGAUAAUGUAGCACGUAUGCUGCUAUAUUGGUUCUUAUUAGAGUUGGGCUGUCCAUUUAAACGGCCACAAUCUGGGCGAACACGUUUGUGGGUGAUAUUUAAAUAACGAACGUUUGGAACCACUGAAGGUAAAUGUUCAUAAUUAAUGAAACAGCUAGGUGAAGAGUAAAUGAUUGAAAAUGUUCAUAAUCAAUGAAACGACUGACUAAACGUGGUUGGUCUAGUUUUGGAUUUUGUUCGAUUCCGCUGUAUUGUAGCGUUGAGCUGUUCCGUUUAAUUGACCAUAGUCUGGAAUGAUGGUGUUUGUGGGACAUAUGCAAAUAGUUUUUGAAAAAUCAUUUAUGAAAGAGAACUAAAUGAAGAAUAACUGACAUGGUAUAGUUUAAUUCUGGUUUUUAUUGCAUUUGGCUGUGCUAUAGUAGAAUAUUGUCCACCUAAAUGGCCAUAGUCUGGAAUGAUGGUGUUUGUGGGACAUAUGCAAAUAGUUUUUGAAAAAUCAUUUUUAUGAAAGAAAACUAAAUGAAGAAUAAAUAACAUGGUAUAGUCUAAUUGUGGUUUUUAUUGCGUUUGACUGCGUUACAAUAGAAUAUUGUCCACCUAAAUGGCCAUAGUCAGGAAUGAUGGUGUUUGUGGGACAUAUGCAAAUAGUUUCUGAAAAAAAUCAUUUAUGGAAGAGAACUAGAUAAAAAAUAAAUGACAUGGUGUAAUCUAGUUGUGAUUUUCAUCGCAUUUAGCUGCAUUACAGUAGAAUAUUGUCCACCUAAAUGGUCACAAUUUGGACCAAGCAUAUUCACGGAGAAGGUCCAAUAUAUAUAGCAGCGAUCAAAAAGUUUCUGAUUGCUAUAUAUUCUGUAUAUAUUUAGAAUUCAUGGAAGAAAAGGAAAUUGACGAAAAAGGCGUGCUACAGCCUAAUUAUGGCCUUUACCAGUACUGUUUUAGUACAGCGCUGCUCGCUUAAAAGGCCACAAAUAAUCCCAAACUUCCGGACGACGAUGUAGCUUGUGCUACUUCUGUUCUAAAAAAAAAAAAAAAAAAAAAAAAAAAAAAAAAAAAAAAAAAAAAAAAAAAAAGAACUAACAAGAAGAAA